GUGAGGAAUAUUGCGCAAUGCCCGAAAGGGUGACGCAGCGACGCCGCGUGGAGGAUGAAGGCCCUCUGGGUCGUAAACUCCUGUUGAGAGGGAAGAAUGGAGCGCUAUAGGCGCUCGUGACGGUACCUCUAGAGAAAGCACCGGCUAACUACGUGCCAGCAGCCGCGGUAAUACGUAGGGUGCUAGCGUUGUCCGGAUUCACUGGGUGUAAAGGGAGCGCAGGCGGGUCUUCAAGUCGUUGGUGAAAUUCUCAGGCUCAACCUGGGGACUGCCAAUGAUACUGGAGAUCUUGAGUGCAGAAGAGGAAGACGGAAUUCCUGGUGUAGCGGUGAAAUGCGUAGAUAUCAGGAAGAACACCGGUGGCGAAGGCGGUCUUCUGGUCUGUAACUGACGCUCAUGCUCGAAAGCGUGGGGAGCAAACAGGAUUAGAUACCCCAGUAGUCC
rnacentral:rRNA from 1 species